rnacentral:rRNA from 2 species
AGUGGCGAACGGGUGAGUAACGCGUGGAUGAUCUACCUACGAGAUGGGGAUAACUAUUAGAAAUAGUAGCUAAUACCGAAUAAAGUCAAUUAAUUUGUUAAUUGAUGAAAGGAAGCCUUUAAAGCUUCGCUUGUAGAUGAGUCUGCGUCUUAUUAGCUAGUUGGUAGGGUAAAUGCCUACCAAGGCGAUGAUAAGUAACCGGCCUGAGAGGGUGAACGGUCACACUGGAACUGAGAUACGGUCCAGACUCCUACGGGAGGCAGCAGCUAAGAAUCUUCCGCAAUGGGCGAAAGCCUGACGGAGCGACACUGCGUGAAUGAAGAAGGUCGAAAGAUUGUAAAAUUCUUUUAUAAAUGAGGAAUAAGCUUUGUAGGAAAUGACAAAGUGAUGACGUUAAUUUAUGAAUAAGCCCCGGCUAAUUACGUGCCAGCAGCCGCGGUAAUACGUAAGGGGCGAGCGUUGUUCGGGAUUAUUGGGCGUAAAGGGUGAGUAGGCGGAUAUAUAAGUCUAUGCAUAAAAUACCACAGCUCAACUGUGGAACUAUGUUGGAAACUAUAUGUCUAGAGUCUGAUA